rnacentral:rRNA from 1 species
AGAGUUUGAUCCUGGCUCAGAUUGAACGCUGGCGGCAUGCUUUACACAUGCAAGUCGAACGGCAGCACGGGGGGUAACCCCUGGUGGCGAGUGGCGAACGGGUGAGUAAUAUAUCGGAACGUGCCCUGUAGCGGGGGAUAACCUAUCGAAAGAUGGACUAAUACCGCAUACGCUCUACGGAGGAAAGCGGGGGCCGCAAGGCCUCGCACUAUAGGAGCGGCCGAUAUCGGAUUAGCUAGUUGGCGGGGUAAAAGCCCACCAAGGCGACGAUCCGUAGCUGGUCUGAGAGGAUGAUCAGCCACACUGGAACUGAGACACGGUCCAGACUCCUACGGGAGGCAGCAGUGGGGAAUUUUGGACAAUGGGCGCAAGCCUGAUCCAGCCAUGCCGCGUGAGUGAAGAAGGCCUUCGGGCUGUAAAGCUCUUUCGGCAGGAACGAAAUGGUUCGUGCUAAUACCACGGAUUGAUGACGGUACCUGAAGAAGAAGCACCGGCUAACUACGUGCCAGCAGCCGCGGUAAUAC